rnacentral:rRNA from 1 species
UACGUAGGGCGCAAGCGUUGUCCGGAAUUAUUGGGCGUAAAGAGCUCGUAGGCGGCCUGUUGCGUCCGCUGUGAAAUCCCGGGGCUUAACCCCGGGCUUGCAGUGGAUACGGGCAGGCUGGAGGCAGGCAGGGGAGAACGGAAUUCCCGGUGUAGCGGUGAAUGCGCAGAUAUCGGGAGGAACACCGGUGGCGAAGGCGGUUCUCUGGGCCUGUACUGACGCUGAGGAGCGAAAGCGUGGGAGCGAACAGG